GAUGAACGCUAGCGGCAGGCCUAACACAUGCAAGUCGAGGGGUAACAUAGGAAAGCUUGCUUUUCUGAUGACGACCGGCGCACGGGUGCGUAACGCGUAUACAACCUACCUUUUAGCGGGGAAUAGCCCAGGGAAACUUGGAUUAAUGCCCCAUAGUAUAUAGACUUCUCCUGAAGUUUAUAUUAAACAUUUAUGGCUAUUAGAUGGGUAUGCGUCCUAUUAGUUAGUUGGUAAGGUAACGGCUUACCAAGGCAGCGAUAGGUAGGGGUCCUGAGAGGGAGAUCCCCACACUGGUACUGAGACACGGACCAGACUCCUACGGGAGGCAGCAGUGAGGAAUAUUGGACAAUGGGCGAGAGCCUGAUCCAGCCAUGCCGCGUGCAGGAAGACUGCCCUAUGGGUUGUAAACUGCUUUUACAGAGGAAGAACCACCCCCACGUGUGGGGGUUUGACGGUACUCUGCGAAUAAGGAUCGGCUAACUCCGUG
rnacentral:rRNA from 1 species